rnacentral:rRNA from 1 species
UACGAAGGGGGCUAGCGUUGCUCGGAAUUACUGGGCGUAAAGGGCGCGUAGGCGGAUAGUUUAGUCAGAGGUGAAAGCCCAGGGCUCAACCUUGGAACUGCCUUUGAUACUGGCGAUCUCGAGUCCGGGAGAGGUGAGUGGAACUGCGAGUGUAGAGGUGAAAUUCGUAGAUAUUCGCAAGAACACCAGUGGCGAAGGCGGCUCACUGGCCCGAUACUGACGCUGAGGUGCGAAAGCGUGGGGAGCAAACAGG